UCGGGUUCCGCGGAGGAAGGGGCGAGGUGUGGGGUGCCGUUAAGAUCCAGGCCGCAUUUCGUGGUUAUCUGGCAAGGAGAGCACUGAGGGCCCUCAGAGGUCUGGUGAAGCUCCAAGCUCUGGUGAGAGGCAACAUUGUGAGGAAACAGGCGGCUGAGACGCUGCGGUGUAUGCACGCCCUGGUGCGUGUCCAGGCUCGUGCUCGUGCCUGCCGCGCCAUCCGCUCGGAGAGAGUCAACCACAACAAACCCUCUCGCUCGCAUCCCGGUCCUCCAACACCCGAGACACACGAACCACCGAGGUCGAUUUCAUUCAAGAGGAGCUCAUCAAAGGGAACCAGUGCCGAUUCCGAGAGAGCUCAGUCCUCUGGUUGGAACUGGCUUGACAGAUGGAUGGAGGAGCGGUACUGGGACAGCCGAGAAUCUGCAACGAAG
rnacentral:misc_RNA from 1 species